rnacentral:rRNA from 1 species
AACGAACGCUGGCGGCAUGCCUAACACAUGCAAGUCGAACGAGAUCUUCGGGUCUAGUGGCGCACGGGUGCGUAACGCGUGGGAAUCUGCCCUUUGGUUCGGAAUAACAGUUGGAAACGACUGCUAAUACCGGAUGAUGACGAAAGUCCUAAGAUUUAUCGCCAGAGGAUGAGCCCGCGUAGGAUUAGCUAGUUGGUGUGGUAAAGGCGCACCAAGGCGACGAUCCUUAGCUGGUCUGAGGGGAUGAUCAGCCACACUGGGACUGAGACACGGCCCAGACUCCUACGGGAGGUAGCAGUGGGGAAUAUUGGACAAUGGGCGAAAGCCUGAUCCAGCAAUGCCGCGUGAGUGAUGAAGGCCUUAGGGUUGUAAAGCUCUUUUACCCGGGAUGAUAAUGACAGUACCGGGAGAAUAAGCUCCGGCUAACUCCGUGCCAGCCGCCGCCGUAA